rnacentral:rRNA from 1 species
UACGUAGGGCGCGAGCGUUGUUCGGAUUUACUGGGCGUAAAGGGCGCGUAGGCGGCCACCGCAAGUCGACUGUGAAAUCUCCGGGCUUAACCCGGAAAGGUCAACUGAUACUGCAGGGCUAGAGUGCAGAAGGGGCAACUGGAAUUCUCGGUGUAGCGGUGAAAUGCGUAGAUAUCGAGAGGAACACCUGCGGCGAAGGCGGGUUGCUGGGCUGACACUGACGCUGAUGUGCGAAAGCCAGGGGAGCGAACGGG